rnacentral:lncRNA from 1 species
ACCAGUGCCUCAAAAUCCAAACUAUUCAAAAUAAAAUACUGACAAUUCGAUAUUUACUUGCUUUACAAUCAACAAACCUCAAAAUAUAGUAAAUAUACCAUAUAGUGAUCUCAUGACAACUUUUUCUAAUAUAAACUACAUGUAACCUAAGAAACAGGCACUACCUAAUCUAAUAAAGUAGACCAUACAACUAAUGACGUAUGACUCAAUUCAGUGGAUCGACAGGCUUCAAUACUGCACAACUGGAUUGCUAUCU